UACGUACAUAUGUACAUAUGUACGUACAUAUAUACAGAUAUAUGUACAUACAUAUGUACUUAUAUGUACAUAUGUACGUACAUACGUACAUAUGUACACGUAUAUAUGUACGUACAUACGUACGUAUGUACGUA
rnacentral:miRNA from 1 species